rnacentral:rRNA from 1 species
UACAGAGGUCCCGAGCGUUGUUCGGAUUCACUGGGCGUAAAGGGUGCGUAGGUGGUGAGGUAAGUCGGAUGUGAAAUCUCCGAGCUCAACUCGGAAAUGGCAUUGGAAACUACCUUGCUUGAGGGUUGGAGGGGGGACUGGAAUACUUGGUGUAGCAGUGAAAUGCGUAGAUAUCAAGUGGAACACCAGUGGCGAAGGCGAGUCCCUGGACAACUCCUGACACUGAGGCACGAAAGCGUGGGGAGCAAACAGG